rnacentral:rRNA from 1 species
UACGUAGGGCGCAAGCGUUGUCCGGAAUUAUUGGGCGUAAAGAGCUCGUAGGCGGUUUGUCGCGUCUGCCGUGAAAGUCCGAGGCUUAACUUCGGAUGUGCGGUGGGUACGGGCAGACUGGAGUGCAGUAGGGGAGACUGGAAUUCCUGGUGUAGCGGUGAAAUGCGCAGAUAUCAGGAAGAACACCGAUGGCGAAGGCAGGUCUCUGGGCUGUUACUGACGCUGAGGAGCGAAAGCAUGGGGAGCGAACAGG